UACGUGGGAGCCAAGCGUUGUUCGGAUUUACUGGGCGUAAAGGGCGCGUAGGCGGCGUGUUAAGUCACUUGUGAAAUCUCUAAGCUUAACUUAGAACGGUCAAGUGAUACUGAUGUGCUAGAGUGCAGAAGGGGCAACCGGAAUUCUUGGUGUAGCGGUGAAAUGCGUAGAUAUCAAGAGGAACACCUGAGGUGAAGACGGGUUGCUGGGCUGACACUGACGCUGAGGCGCGAAAGCUAGGGUAGCAAACGGG
rnacentral:rRNA from 1 species